rnacentral:lncRNA from 1 species
AUCAGCAUUACUAGCCACAUAUAAUAAUGAUUGGCACCUCAAUAGAUAUUCUAGCAAGUCAUUAGCAUGGAAUUAGGAUGAACUACAAGAAUAUUUCCUAAGUUAUUCUUAACUAUAAAGUCUAGCAUAUCAUAGUUAGUGCAAUUAUACUUGGCAACCAUUGCGAGACAGGACUAUGCCCAUGCAUAGUGAUAUUAUCAAGGAAGAUGAUAAACAUAGCAAUCACUCCCCUGUAAUAAUGUUGCUCUGCCUACCCUAUACACGGGAGGGGGACUAUAUAAGAAUCAAUAGAGCUGUCACCACCACGAACUACCCCGCGAUCCGACAUAUAGGGUACAAUCGUAGAUAAUUACAUGGAUAAACGCUAUAUGAUCCUAAACAUGUAUAUAAUUCCAAUCUAACUAAGCCAAGCAUAUAACUAUGAUAAACUAAAAAUGAUAUAAUUGCAAAUAUAAACUAGUAGAGCAAAGUCAUAAUCAAUAUAUUCAAGUAGAACAAAGUCAUAUUCAUAAUAUUGAAGAACAAUGAUGAACAAAUGAAGAACAGUAGAGGAAUUACCAAGAAUCCUCUUGAUAGAUCCAGAAACCAAUCAAAGUUUGACUCCUUCUAGUUCUAAUCCUAUGUAGCUAUGCUAAACUAUAGAUCUAGUUGAUGUGCCGGCUCUAGGGCUUUAUUAGAGACUUCUUCUCCCGAGAUGAAUGAAUGAGGUUUCUGAGGUGCCUCCUCCAGGGGCCAGGGGGGCUGCUUAUAUAGUCCCUCCAAAUGAAUAUGGGCCGUCGGAUCAAACCGACCAUAAUCGCACAGUUUUCCUUAAUCCUCUAGGUCGGUGGAGCAUUAUCCGCGAGAGGGAGCAUGAUUCGCCUAGGCAGUAGGACGGGCGCCCAAGAGGGGAGGGCAGGCGCCCUGUCCCCGGGCCCGCUCGGCCUCCCGCUCGUUUCCAUGGCUUCUAGACUCUUCUAUGUUAGGAAAAAUUGCACGGCACGUAAUUACCUCAAUGUAAACCUGACAUGUGGGCCUUUCCUCCAUAUUUCCUGAUAAACCCUACAGAAAUAGACAAACACCAAAACUCGUGGAAUUCUGUCACAUAAAACCCUAAGUCUGGGUGUUGGUUGCAUUUGGAUCCUUUUCUCUAUUUAUUUGUUGAUUAUAUUUGAUACUUAAGGACCGUAAACAAACUCCCCGAAGCUUACCUCUUGCUCGUCCCUGAGCAAGGAUAAUCUCAGUGAUGGAUCAGAAGUUGUUGUAAUGCCUUUGAGUUUUGACGGUACACAUGCUUUCACAAUAAGGUCUCAUCUCUGAGUUAGAGUAAACCGUCAAGACUUAAAACUUACUCAUUUUACCUUUCACCAUGGGACUUGUAACCAUCAUUUCUGUCUUGAGCAGUUAAAAGAUAGAACGGUCUCGUCAAGCGGCAUGUCUCUUAUUCUUGAUGAGCUAUAGCUCUAGAAUUUUUUGUAGAUUUUUAAAUAAAACUCAGAGAUUCCUUGUAUGACUCUCUCAGAUCUCUCUUUUUGUGGUAUUUCUGGAUCCUUACCAAGGCAGUGAUGGUAUAUGCCUUCUCUCAAAGUAUGUAGUAUUUGUGGUAUGAUGCAUAGUGACCUUACCUUCUCUCUCACCCUACUUUAAUAAGGCUUUUGAUAUCUGGAGCUCAUAGGUGGGAGAUAGAGUACACAUACUUACAAGACAUUUAUUGCAUAGUCAAACCAUGGAUCCAGAGGAACAAUCCAAUAAGUCAAAUCAAGAUGUGCAUGUGUGGCAAAUGAAUGGUGUAUGGUGAUGAUGGUGAUAACAAUGGUGAAAGUCUAAUUCUAAUUUUUGCUCUUUUGAGGGGAUACAUACCGUUCUUGCUCUUUUGAAACUUUUUGAGGAGAAUGAGAUGCUCUACAUUUUUUUUUCUUUCCUCUCAGGUGGGUAUCUUGUACUCCUAAUUCUAUUGUCAGACACUUGUCCAUUUUUACCUCUCGUCUGACUUUUUCGUUUCUUUUCAGGUUCCGGGCACUUGCCCCUUUUUAUUUCCUCGUAUCCUUUCUCUUUUUUUCUUUUUUUUAGAGCACUCACCUCCUGAAAUAAUAUAGCAAGUGGUACUAACCAAGAUAACUCGAGCAUUUAUUUCACAGGAAAAACAGAAAUAGGAGAAUGUUUUUGGCAAUUCUCUCCCGGAUUAGGAGUAGAAUACUUUUGGGUCGCUCUGGAGAUGGAAAUGAGUGGAUAUAUGUGAAUGCGUACUUCCGGAGUGGAAGCAGCAUGUGUGAGUGAACGUGCAAGUGAAUCUUGAUUUUAACCGCAUGACAAGCUCAUAAGGGUCUGCACAGCUUGACCACACUCAAUGCUCAUAAGCAGUAAAAAGUAAAUGUGUGGCUCAAAGUCUAGCAAGCAUGUAUGUAUGGAUGUGGUAGGAAUUUAAACUCUCAUCGUACAGGAACUCAUCAUGUGAUAUUUUAAAGAUUUCCAAAGAUAGAAUUCUCCAGAUUUCUAUCAUCUCUAGGAAUAGAUAAACAGUAGCUCAACCUUCCCAUAUCAUAUCCGUUAACUUAGACUUCAGAUCAAGUUCUCUUCCCACAAGUUCUGGUUUUUUAGAGCAAGUUUUAAAUUAUAACAGUUAUAUCUAAACUAGAGAGAGAACUCCAAUUUUGAAAAUUAGAUAUAGCAACUAUUCAUCAUAUCCAUGCUAGAGUUUUAUUAAGAUUUAGUUUAGCACAGCCACUUUAUUUAUUUAUUAAGCACACUAAGCAAAAGAUAUAUAUAUAUAUAUAAGCACAACAUCUUUAUUUGGUUUUCAUGGUUAUGUAUAUAUAUUAUUUUAAUAUAGUAUAAGUAUAUAGAUUGAUAGAAAUACUUAACGGGAUAACUCGCGGUGCUCUCCUCCAAGCUGGAUUUUGACGUAAUUUCUUCUGAUGUAGCUAGCAGGUGGCAGAGGUGUAUUUGAAUGUCGGCAGCACCCUGACAAUUAUUAGAAUAUCCUCCGUCUGCUAGUCUUCUUGAUCCUUGAAUUAUGUGGAGCUCAAAUAGACAACAAAGCUUUCUGGAACUGAUUAGGUGUUUGCAUAAAUAUAUAGUCUUUAUCAUGUUGAGCCUCCUCAAUAAAUGCUACUUUCUUUGGUAGGAUCACAAUUUUAUUUUUAUGUUUUUAUAUAGCAGAAGAAUAUUUUUAUUUUAUUAUUUUUUAUGCCACCAUAGUGAAUGUACUUAUGGGUUUUAUGCCACUUGUAUACUCACAUGGGGCUUACUAGUUUUAACAUUUUUAUUUUUUCGUUUCAAGAUGAUAUGAACCUAAUUAACUAAGCAAACUAUUUUAAAUAAUUGAAAGGAAAAGGAUAAGUACCAAGUUUACCUCUUGGCAAGGCAUUCGGCGUUUUUAAGUCCUCCGAACGGGACUCUCUGUUUUCUUAGUCGUCCUGGGAUUCGCUGGAUGGCGUAGUCGGUGGUUCCGGCUGUGCCUCCUCUUCGUGUAUAACUAUAUUCUCUCUCCACACCUAACUCAGUGCUACGGUCUCCUUAGGAUAGUUCUGUUCAAGCUGUAUGUCUUCAGACCCUAUCACUUCUCCUAUGUAGUCUGCCCAUCCGUCCUUGAUGAUUUGCCUCCUCUGGUUGCGGUUGCGUCGUCUUCUUCUUGUCCUGACCUGCUUAGAGUCUUCAACUAUAUAGUUAGGGUCAGUAAAAUAGCAGCAUACCUUCUCAGAGGGGAAGUGCAUGUAGACUUCUCCGGUUCCAACGUAUAUGAUUGCUUUAACGGUGCUGAGAUGAUGGGUGGAUCGUACUCAUCUUCUCCCAUGUCAAUAACCUGAAAAUCUGUAUGGACAAAAUGAUCAUCUAUUUUGACAGGGACAUCAGUUACUAUACCUUCAACCUUUUGGAAUGUAUAAUCUACCAUCUAGAGGUGAACGUAUGUCAGUUUUAGGGGCAUGGUUGCGAACAGGAGCUGAUAGGUGACUGCGGCCAUUAUGUUGACGCCCGACCCGAUGUCGCAAAGCAUCUUCUGGAAGUUGUAUCUAUUAAUGGAGCACUAGUUGCUUGGCAUACCUGGGUCAUCCUUCUUGGUCACGAACGGUGACUUGAGUUGAUGAUCUUGAACUCCGUGAAGUGCAGUGACCAUCUUAGCUGACUCGGUCCACACUUGCUUGUUUCUGUUCCUCCUAUUGGUCCUCUUCCUUGGUUCAUGUCGGGAUUGCUUUGGGAUUUGUGCAGUCUUAUUCUUGAAGGAAAACAUCUUCUUCCUCCCCGUGAUGUAGAAACUGAUCUUGGCAGCUGAUGAGGUCGUUGUCCCGAUCUUCACGACGUUGGAUAACUAGCUGAAGAUCAGCCGAUAACUUGCUGCAAGCAGCGAGGACAACUAGUGCAACCUGACGACAUGCACAAGGAGCCAACCACCGUCUCUAUACGGCAGGCUGAACCAAGGAUUCGCCCAACCACACUCUCAAAGAACCAACCUACGCAACCUGAACUCGAGGAUCAGGAGCACGGAUUGGGUGCCAAUGACGCGGCCGCUUCUGUAAUCUCCGCGAAGGAAAACACAAGAGCAAAGGGGUAGAGAUCUCUCUCUGAAUUUGUUAGCACAUAGCUGAACAAAGUGGUUUGUAUUCUUGUUGAUAUUUGGGAACGCAAUAAGGAAUUGAUCCGCAAGCGCACGGAUAUCGGUGAGCCUUUCACCCGGGAAAUUAUCCAGAGUAUCGUAUUUAUUUUUUUACCACUAGGAGAAAGAGUGCAUCUGACUAACCGGUCUAUUACUACUAACCUUUAGGCACAAAGAAUGUCUUUCGAUGUAAGUGACAAAUAGAGAAGACUGCAACUGU